AAUGAAUUGCCUGACAAAAAGGAUUAUCUUGAUAGGGUAAAUUAUAUGAUUAUUUCGUAUUCAUUA
rnacentral:tRNA from 1 species